CUGAUACAGCUCCACAAGCACAGAGUUAGUGUAAGCAGUCCCCUGGAAAGGAGGAAGAACAGUACCUGUGAGCUGUUCUGUAAAAUGUGAAAUAAGAAAACUGAGACGUGUAAUAGAAGAGAAAAAUAUCACAAUGUAGGAGUUUGCCUACUUGAAAAAUUUGUAUUGGUAUGUUCCAAGGAUUGCAGUGUGUACCAGGCACAAGAAUGAGGAACUCUUUAGAAUUCUAGUUUAGCAUUUGACCCAAAUAUUUAACAACAAAACUGAGUUUCUUCACUGAGGUAAAUUAAAUUUUACUAAACACAUGGACUGUAAAAUUGCUUUCUUUGUUUCUUUCUUUCAUGUUAGCUUGAUAAAUUAAUCUCAUACUGCAAAAGUAACUCCAUUACAGGAGAUGAUCAGGAUGCAAACAUAAAUGUAUAGAAGUAAACUAUAAGCUUAAAACUG